rnacentral:rRNA from 1 species
UGGGGAAUAUUGCACAAUGGGCGAAAGCCUGAUGCAGCGACGCCGCGUGAGGGAUGACGGCCUUCGGGUUGUAAACCUCUUUCGACAGGGACGAAGCGCAAGUGACGGUACCUGUAGAAGAAGCACCGGCCAACUACGUGCCAGCAGCCGCGGUAAUACGUAGGGUGCGAGCGUUGUCCGGAAUUACUGGGCGUAAAGAGCUUGUAGGCGGUUUGUCGCGUCGUCUGUGAAAACUCACAGCUCAACUGUGAGCUUGCAGGCGAUACGGGCAGACUUGAGUACUGCAGGGGAGACUGGAAUUCCUGGUGUAGCGGUGAAAUGCGCAGAUAUCAGGAGGAACACCGGUGGCGAAGGCGGGUCUCUGGGCAGUAACUGACGCUGAGAAGCGAAAGCGUGGGUAGCGAACAGGAUUAGAUACCCUGGUAGUCCACGCCGUANCGGUGGGUACUAGGUGUGGGUUUCCUUCCACGGGAUCCGUGCCGUAGCUAACGCAUUAAGUACCCCGCCUGGGGAGUACGGCCGCAAGGC